rnacentral:rRNA from 1 species
CAGGAUGAACGCUGGCGGCGUGCCUAAUACAUGCAAGUCGAGCGAUGAGGCUCCUUCGGGAGUACAUCAGCGGCGAACGGGUGAGUAACACGUGGGUGACUUGCCCCGAAGAUGGGGAUAACCUCUGGAAACGGGGGCUAAUACCCAAUGUGCUCGGUGAUUCGGUUCAUCGAGUAAAGCUCCGGCGCUUCGGGAGAGGCCUGCGGCCCAUCAGCUAGUUGGUAGGGUAACGGCCUACCAAGGCAGAGACGGGUAGGGGGCGUGAGAGCGCGGACCCCCACACUGGCACUGAGAUACGGGCCAGACUCCUACGGGAGGCAGCAGUAAGGGAUAUUGCGCAAUGGACGAAAGUCAGACGCAGCGACGCCGCGUGGGCGAUGAAGGCCUUCGGGUUGUAAAGCCCUUUUAUGGGGGAAGAGAAAAAGGACGGUACCCCAGGAAUAAGUCCCGGCUAACUACGUGCCAGCAGCCGCGGUAAAACGUAGGGGACAAGCGUUAUCCGGAUUCACUGGGCGUAAAGAGCGUUGAGGCGGUUCCGUAAGUUGGGCGUGAAAGCUCCGGGCUUAACUCGGAGAUGUCGUUCAAUACUGCGGGGCUUGAGGACAGCAGAGGAAGGUGGAAUUCCCGGUGUAGUGGUGAAAUGCGUAGAUAUCGGGAGGAACACCCGUGGCGAAGGCGGCCUUCUGGGCUGUUCCUGACGCUGAAGGCGAAAGCUAGGGGAGCGAACGGGAUUAGAUACCCCGGUAGUCCUAGCUGUAAACGAUGGAUGCUGGGUGUGGGGGGUGUAAAUUCCCUCUGUGCCGAAGCAAACGCGUUAAGCAUCCCGCCUGGGGACUACGGCCGCAAGGCUAAAACUCAAACGAAUUGACGGGGGCCCGCACAAGCAGCGGAGCGUGUGGUUUAAUUCGAUGCUACACGAAGAACCUUACCUGGGGUUUGACAUGCACGUGGU